GCAUCUUCAAGAUCCGUCCGGAGCGAAGCUUCCCAAGUAGCUAAAAAUAGUAACUCGCUUGAAAAUGAACCAUCUGGUACCUGUGUUCUACAGCGCGGAGUCCGUGCGUCGCGUCCUCAACUGGCCAAUGGUAAACGAAGCUGUCGAGGCGGCGCUCACGGCGGUCGUCAUGCCGUCAGCCAAUGCCCGGGCUGACCCAGCUCAUGCGCGCUGUGACGAUCAACAUUCCAUAAGCAACCAUAUUAAGUCCUACGUAAAUCAGCCAACGCGAAGCAUCACCCUUUGCAGCAAGGAUCCGAGCAAGCUGCUACUGACCAUGCCCGCCUUUGUGGGCAACUAUCGCCUGUCGGAGGGCGGCACUGGCGGCGAUGCCACCAACGUUGGCCGCUCGACGCUGGCCUGCAAGGUGGUCACAUCAUUCCGGUCUAACCAGCAGCUGCAGCCGCCGCUGCCGAGCAUCAACGCCAACAUUUUGCUCUUCAACGUGAAGACGGGCGAGCUUGAGGCUCUGAUGGCCGGCACGGAUAUCACCACAUGGCGCACCGUGUCCGCCUCCCUAGUGGCCACCAAAUACUUAUACUUCCGCCGCUUCGGUCCGAGCGCCGAGCAUCAGAAGGACAUCAACGUGGCCAUCGUUGGCUGCGGCGUCCAGGGCCAACUACAUGCCGCCGCCAUGUGCGCCAAUUUCCGGGUGAAACAGCUAAGCCUCUACAAUCGCUCCGAACCGCGGGCCGUUCAGCUGGCCAACGAGUUGCGCCAGCGCAUGACCAACGACCGAGACAGCUGCUACGCGCCCGGCUUGCCCGACAUCAAGGUCUGCAGCUUGGCAAGCGAAGCCGUCGCACAGGCGGAUGUCAUCUGCAUUGCCACCUACGCUCAUGAGCCGAUUAUCUAUGCCAAGGAUCUGCAGGACAAGCGCGCCGUUCACAUCAACGCUGUGGGCGCUGGCGAGGUGCACUUUGGCGAGGUGGCCCCCGAUAUCUAUAAGGAGUCGCUGGUCUAUGUGGACUGCAUGGCAAAUGCCAGGAGCGAGCUGGUCGGCCUGCCCGCGCCCAUAGCCGGCGAGGUGGGCGACAUUAUACUCAAUGCUAACUAUCCGGACGCGCAGGCACUGACCAUAUUCCAGUCGAUGGGAAUGGCCGCCGAGGAUGCCUGCGUGGCUGAGGCUGUGCGGACGGCGCUUCUGUCCUGCGACAAGUAAGCGGCAUCAGCCCAAUCAGUGGAACGAUUGAUCCAUGGCCGCGACGAUGUGCCCCCCGGAUUUCCAGCAAUCUUUUAUACAUCUGCUCGACCGCUUGCCCUGCCCUCUGCCUGCUGUCUACUGCCCUAUGCCUGCGCUGCGGGCCCUUCACACCUUUUUCACACAUCAUCAUCAUCAUCAUCAUCAUCAUCAUCAUCAUCAUCAUGCAAUUUCCAUUUAUAUAUAUAUAAUUCUUGUUUUCUGUUUUAUCAUAGAUGCUGUUAGCCUGUAGAAACGUGGCCUAGAACCCAGUGGGAAGUAUUUUAUUUCUAUUAUUUUUGUUUUCUCUUGUGUUGGUUUUAAUUGGCUUUUGGGUCCCAGUCUAAGCCCUUUUUGCAAGCCGUGUGCGCCUUUCCCACUUU